AGAGUUUGAUCCUGGCUCAGGAUGAACGCUAGCGGCAGGCUUAAUACAUGCAAGUCGUGGGGCAGCAGGGGUGUAGCAAUACACUCGCUGGCGACCGGCAAACGGGUGCGGAACACGUACGCAACCUACCCAAAACUGGGGAAUAGCCCGGGGAAACCCGGAUUAAUACCUCGUAACACCAUGAAGUGGCAUCACUAUAUGGUUAUAGCUCCGGCGGUUUUGGAUGGGCGUGCGCCUGAUUAGGUAGUUGGCGGGGUAACGGCCCACCAAGCCAGCGAUCAGUAACUGGUGUGAGAGCACGACCAGUCACACGGGCACUGAGACACGGGCCCGACUCCUACGGGAGGCAGCAGUAAGGAAUAUUGGUCAAUGGACGCAAGUCUGAACCAGCCAUGCCGCGUGAAGGAUGAAGGUCCUCUGGAUUGUAAACUUCUUUUAUAUGGGACGAAACCCGGGAAUUCUUUCCCGAUUGACGGUACCAUAGGAAUAAGCACCGGCUAACUCCGUGCCAGCAGCCGCGGUAAUUC
rnacentral:rRNA from 1 species